GCCUACGGGCCAAAGAGGGGGACCUUCGGGCCUCUCGCGUCAGGAUAUGCCUAGGUGGGAUUAGCUAGUUGGUGAGGUAAGGGCUCACCAAGGCGACGAUCCCUAGCUGGUCUGAGAGGAUGAUCAGCCACACUGGAACUGAGACACGGUCCAGACUCCUACGGGAGGCAGCAGUGGGGAAUAUUGCACAAUGGGCGCAAGCCUGAUGCAGCCAUGCCGCGUGUGUGAAGAAGGCCUUCGGGUUGUAAAGCACUUUCAGUCGUGAGGAAGGUAGUGUAGUUAAUAGCUGCAUUAUUUGACGUUAGCGACAGAAGAAGCACCGGCUAACUCCGUGCCAGCAGCCGCGGUAAUACGGAGGGUGCGAGCGUUAAUCGGAAUUACUGGGCGUAAAGCGCAUGCAGGUGGUUUGUUAAGUCAGAUGUGAAAGCCCGGGGCUCAACCUCGGAAUUGCAUUUGAAACUGGCAGACUAGAGUACUGUAGAGGGGGGUAGAAUUUCAGGUGUAGCGGUGAAAUGCGUAGAGAUCUGAAGGAAUACCGGUGGCGAAGGCGGCCCCCUGGACAGAUACUGACACUCAGAUGCGAAAGCGUGGGGAGCAAACAGGAUUAGAUACCCUGGUAGUCCACGCCGUAAACGAUGUCUACUUGGAGGUUGUGGCCUUGAGCCGUGGCUUUCGGAGCUAACGCGUUAAGUAGACCGCCUGGGGAGUACGGUCGCAAGAUUAAAACUCAAAUGAAUUGACGGGGGCCCGCACAAGCGGUGGAGCAUGUGGUUUAAUUCGAUGCAACGCGAAGAACCUUACCUACUCUUGACAUCCAGAGAACUUUCCAGAGAUGGAUUGGUGCCUUCGGGAACUCUGAGACAGGUGCUGCAUGGCUGUCGUCAGCUCGUGUUGUGAAAUGUUGGGUUAAGUCCCGCAACGAGCGCAACCCUUAUCCUUGUUUGCCAGCGAGUAAUGUCGGGAACUCCAGGGAGACUGCCGGUGAUAAACCGGAGGAAGGUGGGGACGACGUCAAGUCAUCAUGGCCCUUACGAGUAGGGCUACACACGUGCUACAAUGGCGCAUACAGAGGGCGGCCAACUUGCGAGAGUGAGCGAAUCCCAAAAAGUGCGUCGUAGUCCGGAU
rnacentral:rRNA from 1 species